UUUUUUUUUUUUUAUAAACAAAGCAGUUUCAGAGAAACUGCUAUGUUUACACUGAGGGUUAAUCCAGCCUCUAAAGCCUCUAGUGGCUGUCUCACUGACAGCCGCUAGAGGCGCUUGUGUGCUUCUCACUGUGAAAAUCACAGUGAGAAAACGCCAGCGUCCAUAGGAAAGCAUUAUGAAUGCUUUCCUAUGAGACUGGCUGAAUGCGCGCACGGCUCCUGCCGCGCAUGCGCAUUCAGCCGAUGACGUCACUAGAAAGAAGGAGAGGAGGAG